GUAGCUACAACGUGAGUUUUUAGCCAAUCUCAAAAAAACAGUCUCAGUUCGGAUUGAAGUCUGCAACUCGACUUCAUGAAGUUGGAAUCGCUAGUAAUCGCGAAUCAGCAUGUCGCGGUGAAUACGUUCUCGGGGUUUGUACACACCGCCCGUCAAACCACGAAAGUUGAUAAUACCCAAAACCGGUCGCCUAACUUCGUCAGAAGAGGGAGCCGUCUAAGGUAGGGUCGAUGAUUGGGGUUAAGUCGUAACAAGGUAUCCCUACCGGAAGGGGGGGAUGGAUCACCUCCUUUCUAAGGAAACAUAAAAUCAUCAUCUUCAGUUUUGAAAGACUUAGUCAAGUUUUUCUGAUUUAUUUUGUUUUUUGAUAUCCUGGGCCUAUAGCUCAGUUGGUUAGAGCACACGGCUGAUAAGCGUGAGGUCGGUGGUUCGAGUUCAUUUAGGCCCACCAAA
rnacentral:misc_RNA from 1 species